rnacentral:rRNA from 1 species
CGUGCCUAACACAUGCAAGUCGAGCGGCAGCGGGCCCGCAAGGGUGCCGGCGAGCGGCGGACGGGUGAGCAAUACAUAGGAAUCUGCCUCAGAGCGGGGGAUAGCCCAGGGGAAACCCUGAUUAAUACCGCAUGAUGUCGAGAGACCAAAGUGGGGGAUCGUAAGACCUCACACUCUGAGACGAGCCUAUGUCGGAUUAGCUAGUUGGCGGGGUAACGGCCCACCAAGGCGACGAUCCGUAGCUGGUCUGAGAGGACGAUCAGCCACACCGGAACUGAGACACGGUCCAGACACCUACGGGUGGCAGCAGUCGAGAAUUUUUCACAAUGGGCGAAAGCCUGAUGGAGCGACGCCGCGUGAGGGAUGAAGGGCUUCGGCCUGUAAACCUCUGUCAUUCGUGAUCAAAGUUGCCAAGCGAACACCUUGGUAAUUGAUAGUAGCGAAAGAGGAAGAGACGGCUAACUCUGUGCCAGCAGCCGCGGUAAUACAGAGGUCUCAAGCGUUGUUCGGAUUUACUGGGCGUAAAGGGUGCGUAGGCUGUUUUGUAAGUCUGAUGUGAAAUUUUGUGGCUCAACUACAAAAGCGCAUUGGAAACUACAAAGCUAGAGGACUGGAGGGGAAGUCGGAAUUCUCGGUGUAGCAGUGAAAUGCGUAGAUAUCGAGAGGAACACCAGUGGCGAAGGCGGACUUCUAGACAGUUCCUGACGCUGAAGCACGAAAGCUAGGGGAGCAAACAGGAUUAGAUACCCUGGUAGUCCUAGCCCUAAACGGUGCAUGCUUGCUGCGAGUUGCUUUAAAAACAAUUCGUGGCGCAGCUAACGCGUUAAGCAUGCCGCCUGGGUAGUACGGUCGCAAGACUAAAACUCAAAUGAAUUGACGG